GGUGCGCGCCGGAAGAGCGCCGCAGUAGCAGCAACACGGGAGCGAAAUGGCGUAGCGUGCUUUCCACAGCCGCAGCGCUUCGGGACCAGGCUCGUUGAGCCUCCCCGAUCCUGACGGGGAAAUGUAUCUGAGAAACCGUUGCCGUUCAUUCGCUUCCAGCCCGGUACCGAAUCAGCGGAAACUAAUGCCCUUCAUAGCAAGAAGAAAAGGAACAGUCACGUGUCUAAAGGAACAUAAAGAAUGAGCAGAUGUGAGACCAUCCUGUCAUGGCUCUUCAAACUACCCGUCCUCCAGCAUUAUGUCAGGGAAGUGUCACUGUUCGGUCUACAUCAUACCAACAUCGCUCCAUGAACAUACAAUUUCUGCACUUUGAAGAGGAUAGUUCAAGAGGUGUUUUUUUAAUAAUGAGAAAUUAAAAUGUGUCCAAAUAUGAAAUAACCAUGCCUGUGCCACAGCUUGUACAAAUGAUGAUUGGUCAUGUUAGCAAAAAUAUUUACUUUUAAGUAUUUGUGUGGGUGCAGGUUGUGUUAAUGUGUUACAAUAUAGAGUGCACUUGCUUUGCAGGUAAAGUGCAAGCAACCUGCAAAAUGCAAAGCAAUUAAGCUGAAACAUGCUUGACCUAACUGUUUCAUUACCUGCAGAUGAAGUGCCUAAUCAUUUUAAACAACUGUCUCACAAGUCUCUUACCAAGGCUUAGCUGUAAACCUACAGCAAAUCACUGCAUGGUCAUUCAGUCUUUACAAUGUGACUGUUUAUGUUUUGAGACGAACUGUAGAUAAGUAGCUGUUCUCUGAAUUCAAGAUUCAUAAUGGUGCUUUAGCAAAAUCAUGACCCUUGCUAUCUCGUACUGACAAACCAAGACAGACAGUGGCAUUAACGUAACCCAAGCAUAAAUUCAGUAGGAUACGGAGAGUUAAUGAUAUGUGGAGAUAAUGAAAUGGAAGUAUUUUACUACCUCGCAAAGCAAAUCAAGUAAACAGCUCAGAUGCACACAGCCACCAAUGAUCUGAUCGGUAUUUCCUUGUAUUUCUUUCAGUCAUUUUAAACAUAAUAGUGUAGGAAUAUGAUGCCUGUGUGUUUUAGGAUGAAAGUGUUUAGAUCCAAUGGUUGAAAUAUUUUAACAAUGAUUAUAGGAUUACAUAUCACACUAAGGGCAUAGUGACCUUAUAGUUCCCUGGUUGUCCUGGGCCAGCAAUUCAUCCAGGUAGUUUUCAUCCUCAGUAAGUAGAAUUUGGCCAAAAGAAAGGCAGUGGACCUUCUAAAUGCUACUGUAGGUUGUGGUAACAAUAUGUUAAAACAAAUCAAAACGUGUAAGCCAGGAGUUUGUGUUGGCCCAUUUGUCCUAGAUUUUUACAGUGAAAGUCAUUUUAAAGAAAUUAUUUAAUCUGUGCUGUGCAAAAUUUAUAUAAAUGUUUUUCUAGUUAACAAUUUGUUUGCACAGCAAUUGUGGUGUUUUUUGUAUCAGUGGAUUUGUACAAAUACAUUUAAAUAUAUGCAUUUGGCAGUCUUUUAUCCAAAGUUAUAAACAGUGCAUACACACACUGAUGUGUCUUCCCCAGACCUUAGCCCUUCUAAUGCAGUGCUACCAAUUUGGCUAAAGGAACAAAUAAGUGUUACAUACCCCCCCCUUUUAUAGGUGUGAAUCUCAAUGGGCGGAACAGUAGUCAUGCCUCAGUGUGGGAAAUGUGCAAUAUUUGUUUCUUUCUUUUACGUCGUGUUUGAAUAUGUAUAUUGUACAAACAAGUGACAAGUUGUUCGCAAAAACAACAAAAUCACCAAUGUCUUCCAUUAAAUGAUGUAUAGUUUCAUCCGCUUACUUUAGGGUGGCGGGAUUUUGUAGUGCCAGCAUAAACAUGGCCAUGCAUGUACGGUAGCGAUGCUUGCUGAGUUUAAUAGUCGUAGUGAAAUGUAGUAUACUGCUAUAAAGUUGUUUAGAAAAUACAUAAAAUUAGGCAGACAAAGAUUUUGUUAGUAACCAGCAUGGAUGCAGCAUCCAUACUUUGAUCGAUCUGAUUAAGAGGCAAGUCAUCUUGACCUGAACUAAGAGCAUUGUUCAAGGGAUGUUAUUUUGGUUUUGCUGGUUAACAGUUUAUUUUUUGGUUAAUCGCUAUAAGUGAACAAUAAUGUGUUAGCAUCCUGAGGGUUAGAAAAAAAUGACGGUUGGUACUGAUGUGUGGCUAACCAUGCUGAAUGCUCAUUUAUGUUUCAUAAGCACUGUGUGAGUUUGUCCUAGUUUGUUCUGCGGAAAAUGAAGUUCUGCACCCAAAAUAGCACAGUCAGAUCAAAAUGCAUGUCUCCAGAUAAUCGUAUUUAGGGGGAAAAUUGCCCUUAGUAGCUUUUACUGUUUUGUUCUAUAAGUGUAUUCCUUAUUGUGGAAUUAUUGUUUUGAUUUUUCACAAUAUUUUGUUAAAAACCAGCUACACAGAUAAUUUGUAAGAGUAUCUAAAGAGAUGUGUUAUGUAUAAGUCAUACCUCCAGUGUUGUAUUUUUCAUCGGGUAUGUUGUCUCAAUCUAGAGCUUUUGGGUAGUUAUAAAAGUAGCAUAAACGCUAGGUUUUAAAAUAAGGUCAAAUGCAUAAAGCAAUUAUCAAAGCAUUGUAAUGUAGAUAUAAUACCUCAAAACUGGAAUGCAAACUAUAUUUUUAAAUAUACUCGAAGAUAUGCAAGCCAUAACGUGUAUUAAGUUCAUCAUUUAGAAGCAAUAACUGCAUGCAUGAAUUAUAAUAUAACAGUUCAGUAGUGUUUGUGAAAUCUGUAGCAUAUAUGUUACAUUGAUAGUGUGUUUUGAUCCAGGACAUCUCAUAUACUACACCUCUUAGUACAUAAGCUAUGGUUUCAUUACUCAUGGACACCAAAAUAAUUUGUGAGGCCAGCACUAAAGGUCUGAAAAUGAUUUAAAUGAAGACCAUUUUUAUCUGGUGGAAAAACGUUGAUGGACAGUCUAUAUAUGCAGGGCCUGUGCCCUUUUAUUGACUUUGCAUGUUUACAUACAAAUCAUUGUGGAAUGCACAUAAGCUGUAAAUUUGUUUGCAGCUCAUUUACCUUAACAGCAAUAUGAGCAGUGUUCUGGGUAGCCGUUUGUAAACUUGAAGAAUCCCUAUCUUCAUAAAUAAUAAAGAUAAACUGGAUGUUUACCACAAUACAUUCACAAAAUGGUUCGUUCGUGGAAUUAAUGGUAUUUUGAUUACAAAUGCAAAAAAUUAUUUUGCUGCUGCAUGAUAGUGAACAAGGUGUGUUUUGUGCCGCAUGCAACCGAGCUGUGCUUAAAAAUAUUUAUGCAGAAAAUCAAAGAGUGGACCAUUGUUAUUAUUUUUAAAUGCAUGAAAUUCCAAAUGUUUAUCUCUACUGUACAUGAUUUACAAAUGAGUAUAUUGUAUCAAGUUACUUUUUGAAUUUGAAUAUUGCAUAAUGAAAUUGUGAUUCAAGAGGCUCAGAUCUAAGAAAGUUUUAUCAAAGCCUGACCAUUUUUUGUUUUAAAUGUGUAAAAAUGUAAUUUGAGUUCCAAACCAUGUUCAUUGCAGAUGAUGCAGAACGAAAGUGUAUAAUGCUUUGCUAGCCUGCUGUGAUUGUGUUGCCGAUUUUGCCUCUGAAUGUGAAACUCUAUGCUUGGUCUAAUCUAUGCACUACAGAUGUGUCCUGCAUGAUUUUGUACAAUUUAAAACUAUCAAAAUUUUAGCAAUAAAAAAGCAGCAUGGUGCCAAUUAU